AGUUCUCUGCAUGUGAAAGUGAAGAAAUUCAACCAAGCACGGGUAAACAACUGGAGUAAUUAUGAAUCUCUUAAGGUAGUCAGAUGCCUAAUCAUCUAAUUAGUGACACGUGUGAAUGGAUUAACAAGAUUCCCAUUAUCCCUAACUACUAUCUAUAGAAACCACUAUUAGAAUAUAUAAGAUGGU
rnacentral:ncRNA from 1 species